AUUGAACGCUGGCGGCAUGCCUUAACACAUGCAAGUCGAACGCCCCGCAAGGGGAGUGGCAGACGGGUGAGUAACGCGUGGGAAUCUACCCAGUUCUACGGAACAACAGUUGGAAACGACUGCUAAUACCGUAUACGCCCUAAGGGGGAAAGAUUUAUCGGAAUUGGAUGAGCCCGCGUUGGAUUAGCUAGUUGGUGGGGUAAUGGCCUACCAAGGCGACGAUCCAUAGCUGGUCUGAGAGGAUGAUCAGCCACACUGGGACUGAGACACGGCCCAGACUCCUACGGGAGGCAGCAGUGGGGAAUAUUGGACAAUGGGCGCAAGCCCGAUCCAGCCAUGCCGCGUGAGUGAUGAAGGCCUUAGGGUUGUAAAGCUCUUUCAGUAGGGAAGAUAAUGACGGUACCUACAGAAGAAGCCCCGGCUAACUUCGUGCCAGCAGCCGCCGUAAUAC
rnacentral:rRNA from 1 species